UUUCCCUAAGCGGCCUGAGGUAAUCUGUGAAAAUGGUUCGCUAUUCACUUGAUCCGGAGAACCCCACAAAGUCAUGCAAAUCAAGAGGUUCCAAUCUUCGUGUUCACUUUAAGAACACACGUGAAACUGCCCAGGCCAUCAAGGGUAUGCAUAUACGAAAAGCCACGAAGUAUCUGAAAGAUGUCACUUUACAGAAACAGUGCGUACCAUUCCGAUGUUACAAUGGUGGAGUUGGCAGGUGUGCCCAGGCCAAGCAGUGGGGCUGGACACAAGGUUGGUGACCUAAAAAGAGUGCUGAAUUUUUGCUGCACAUGCUUAAAAAUGCAGAGAGUCAUGCUGAACUUAAGGGUUUAGAUGUAGAUUCUCUGGUCAUUGAGCAUAUCCAAGUGAACAAAGCACCCAAGAUGUGCCGCCAGAACUACAGAGCUCAUGGUCGAAUUAACCCAUACAUGAGUUCUCCCUGCCACAUUGAGAUGAUCCUUACUGAAAAGGAACAGAUUGUUCCUAAACCAGAAGAGGAGCUUGCCCAGAAGAAGAAGAUAUCCCAGAAGAAACUGAAGAAACAAAAACUUAUGGCACGGAGUAAAUUCAGCCUUAAAAUAAAUGCAACUAAAAGGAAAAAAAAAAAAGAAGAAAAAAAUAAGACAGUUGGAGGGAACAGGGUGGAGAAGGGGCAGGCAGUACCACCCCCGGUUGAGAACCCAGGCUUUGGAAUGAGAUGGUUGAGGUUUCAAACAUUGCCUCUGCUCUCCCUCGCAGAAGGAACUUGGAGGCCUGGCUUCCUGAUUCAGAAAUUUACCCCAGAGAGGAACCAGAAAGAUGAAACGAGCUAA